UUUUAAGAAGCAAAUAUUUGCAUCUAGUUUCGACCUAGCCUUUGGUUAAUUCCCUUUUAUA
rnacentral:tRNA from 1 species